GCAAGACUACAGCAACACCGGAGGCAGAGGAAUUCAAGCAGUUCAAGGUAAUUUCUCUUCAAUAAUUCCAUCGCUAUUGUCCAUGGGCUUUCUUUCUUUCUCUAUUUAUUUUCUCUUCCGCAGCAACUUUAUUUGUGAGAAGCAUGCACGUACGCAUAUCCUCAACUAGCUAGGAUUGGUGUUAACUAAUUACUUGUUGUCUGUAACUUAAUUUACUUAAAACAAGUACUGUAUGUGAGGUGCAUAUAGGUAGCUGGCUUUCUUGUUGGACCAAUUAUACCAAGCGCCACUUGAACUGCUAGCUAGCUAGCAAGUGAAGCACUGCGCUUAACAAUACUCAUCACACGUUUUUCUUUUGGGGAUCAAUACAGGUGUUGAUUGCCGCAUCCUGUUGGAUCGCUUGUAACUCCCCGAUCUGGAUCUGGAUAGUAGUACGACUGUUGACGGCUGCCAUAUAUCUCCCUCGCUGGAUCUACAUCGACUGCAUGCUCACUCCUCAUCACGCAUCUCUCCACUUGAUUCAAGGUAACUCAGCUCCACCACACUUACUCUACCUUCUACUGUUUUGUUUUUCCUUUGAAAGAGAUGGUCUUGGUUGUGUGUUUCCAUUAGAAUUGUUGGCGUUUGUUCAAGAUAAUAAUCCAUUGGUUUUAUCUUGUGUGCACUGUAUUCUUCCGUGCGAAGCCAUAGUUUUCCUUCAGAUGAGUGAAUCUGGUAUCCGCCUUCAGGUGGCCGGUGCACCCUAACUUGUAAUACAGGGGACUCAUUUUAACUGCAUGUUUCUUUUCAGUGCCAGCUGAAAGCGCGAGCGAACCCUGUACCUACUUUCCAGAGAGCAAGGGAGGGAGAUCUAUCUAGUUUUUGCUCUGGAAUAAG
rnacentral:lncRNA from 1 species